rnacentral:rRNA from 1 species
AAGGAUUCCCUUAGUACGGGCGACGGAAGCGGGAAAAGCCCACACUGGUAAUCUCCGGGCUUUGGCUCGGCGAAUUGUGAUCUGAAGAUGGCUGGUCUACCUGGGCCGGGCGCCGAAGUGCACACAUGAGCGUGCCGCCAGAGAGGGUGAGAGCCCCGUACGGUGCCCGGGCCUACACAGGCCGGUCCUCGAAGAGUCGUGUACUUUGAUACUAGUGCACUAAGCGGGAGAUAAACUUCUUCUAAGGCUAAAUAUAAGUAGGAAACCGAUAGCGAACAAGUACUGUGAAGGAAAGAUGAAAAGCACUUUGGAAAGAGAGUUAAAAGACUUGAAAUCGUUGAGGCGGACCCGGUAGAAAUGUAUUCUAGCGAAGCGCUCUGGGAAGCUCGUACGCGAGCCACUCGAGCGCCAGCCGAGACAAGAUGGAGUCGUCCGAUGCCAGAGGCCGUGCGCGAGCCGUUUCGGCGGAGCGCGUGCUGGUCGGGUGUCGGGCGGCUUGAGGGGCCUUGCGCGAUCUUGUCAAAAUGGUUUUUACCGACUCGUCUUGAAACACGAACCAAGGAGUCUAAGACUAACGCGAGUGUGGUGGUGGAGAAACCAACACGCGAAAUGAAAGUAAAUGAUGCCAAGAACCCUGCAGCAUCGACCGACUUUUUUCUCUUGGAGAAGGUUUGAGUAAGAGCGUUAUUCUUAGGACCCGAAAGAUGGUGAAACUAU